GGGAGUGUUCCCGAGUGGCCAAAGGGGGCAGACUGUAAAUCUGUUGGCGUACGCCUACGGUGGUUCGAAUCCACCCGCUCACACCA
rnacentral:tRNA from 1 species